UGGGGGGCCAGGAGGUUGGGGGUGGGGGAGCUAGCUUAGAGAAAAUGGGAGGGCUGGGAGUGAGGGGCAUCAGAGCUUGUCCCUAGAAGGUCUCCCAAGCACCCCUGUCAGGUAGACUAGCUUGUGAUUAGGCUUGGCAACCAGGUAGGUGUGUGGCGAGGGAGGGUUAAAGGAAAAGGCUAGGAGAACUGGAAGAUGGGGACAAGUUGCCUCCGCAUGCCCCAUGUACUUCCCUUAAACAUUCCUGGGACUCUAUCCUAAGGCUCUGUCUUCCCAGAACCUAGUCCCUGGGCUCAGCUUGAACUCUGCCUCCCACACCAGGCCCUUAGCCUUGAGUCCCAUCUUUUAAAGACAUUUGCUUUAACAGCUUGUGGCUAGGAACAGAAGCCUGGAAGUGGAGAGUGCUCUGAGAAAAUAGAGAGCAUCAGAGACAAGGUUAGGCCCUGUGUUUGGAUCUGUAUCUGACCCCUGUGACCAGCAUCCCCUCAAUUUCUUCGAGUGUUCCUCUCCCUUUUCUUGGAGACAAGAUGGGAAGGAUGCAGCAGGGCUUCCAGGAGGAGCUUAGAGAUGGAUGGUUGAAUUUCUGCUAUAAUCAGGCUAGAACCUGGAACUCAGGAUCAUGAAGAGUGAGUAAAGCUGUUGCCCUUGACUGGCCCACAGACCUCCACUGCGUCCACUCCAGUUUGCAGGCCCGCCGAGCGUUCAAAGUUUCCAGUUCGUUUCAGGUGGUGGCGGCAGUCAUUACCGAGGUAGCUGAGCCACGCGCAAGGCCCGCUCCACAUCCAUGUCCUCGCUCUCAAAGUCCACUAAGAUGAUGUUGAAGUUGGAGUCCCCUGUGCGCACGUGCAGCGCGGUCAUAUCUGCCAGGAACUGUACCACCCAGCGAGCCUGGUUCUUCACUGGAAGAGAGGGUGCCACUGAGCCAGCGUGACUGGACAGCAUGGUUUCUCAUUUGGAAGAUGCUUUUCACAGUCACCUAUGCCCUUGGUAUCCCACACCAGCACCGAGGCAUACAUACCUGGCACAAUGAAGUGAACCAUGACAUCCUGACGCCAGGCCAGAUGCAAGGGCCGGCAGAGCUCUGGGCGACUGUCUGGGCGGAUCGAGGCGGCAGGAGGGGGCUCAGGGCUUUCUCCAUACUCAUCCCCGAUACGUGCUCCAGGCAAUCGCAGGAAGACAUACUCCGAUAGACGCUGGCGGCUGCCUCCGCGCUCUUGCAAUUCCAGUUCCAGGAGGAAGCGGCUUCCACGUGCAGAAUCCCGGCGCUUCUCCACGUUGACAAUGCGCAGAAGAGAGAAGCGCCUGCCAGGCAGGGCUGAUUAGCCAAGGGGCAUAAUUCCAUUUAACACCCUCUGCCCUGCCCACUUCACCCCAGAACCACAGCCUCAGACUGCAUAUAACACCUGCAACCUGCUCCAUCCUCCUCAGACACAGGUUGACCUUCCCAUAUCUCCCUUUCUCAGUCCAGCAGUUAAGUAGGGAAGGCUGCACUAGGAGGUGCUGUGAGCCCAGAUUGUCAUGGUCUCCCAGAUGACUUCCUUGCCUGAUUUUCUUUAUCCUGGGGUGCUGUCUCAGUCCUCUCCUGCUAUGAUUAACCUCCUACAGAGCUGUCAGGAGGAUGAUGAUGGUCCUCCCCUGGGGGCACCCCAUCUCCAGCAGGCCCCUCCAUUUUGUCUCAGGCAAGAGUUCUCAGACCUGGGGCUACUCACUCUUCUUCCUACCUUCUUGUGCCGGUUAGUGCUUCUCUACAGUAACCCAUCAGUGUGACUUCAGAUGGGACCAGACUCAUGUGUGUGACUCACUGCCCACCCCAAGUCAGAAACCUCUGCCCUCAAAACCACUCUUGGUUACUCCUUGGGGCUACCCACACCCUAGCACCCAGAUGUGCAAAAGUGAGGUUAUGCCUUGACCACUCAGGGUAGACAGUCCAGUAAAGAGACCAUGGAACUGUCCCCACAAGCUGCUUUCAGGAAAUCUCUGAACUACAUGGGACUGUCCUGCAUCCCUAAUGAUGAGAGGGCCUUAGGCUACCUCAUCACUGCCCUGUUUGAGGACUGUCACGUUCUUGUCCUUUGGAGCAGCAGCACACCUAUGUACAGUCACCAUCCUGUUCAAAACUUCCCGUUGAGCCUGGCUCCUUCUUUCCAUUGGCUAGACACCUUGUCUUGAUGUCCUUGAUUUUUUUCAAGGCCCACACAGGUUUCUACCUUUCCUCAAGGCUGACAAUGUACAGAGCAGACUCUCAUAAGAACUCCCUCAAAGACAAAUUAUGAUCCUAAUCUCCCUCAAAAUGGGGUAGAAUCUUGGAUUCCUAAAACCUGAGAGGCCAAGGGGUCAGUGGGACAAGAGCCCUAGGCUCUCUCCCUUGAGUUAGACAUAGUCCCCUAGACCCUACAAUGCUCUAUGAGGAGAGCUUUUGGUGGUCCUGAGCUCAACCCUUCAGUGUCUCUGAACCCUGAAAAGACUGCCUGUGACCUGGCUGAGCCUGAAAACUGUUCCUUGUAGUCUGGAUUCAUCCUAGAGUCUAGGUUCAAGGUGAUGGAUUUGGGGCUUGGCAGUGAAGGGAUAUGAAGCCAGUUUUGAGUGGAGCUCCAGAGAGCCCUUCAACCUGGGCAAAGCAGAACAGUAAAACACUCCUCACUGGAGAAGGAAAAGGGGGUCAGAGAGCCGCUGAGAGCCAAGGAAGGUCUGAGGUUCCUGCGGGGAACAGCAUGCCCUCUCUCCAAGCAGCAACCUGCCCCAUACCCGCCAUGGCGUGCAUUAAGCCGCUCCAUGUACUGAGCCACCACAUCCACCGCCUCCGCCUCAGGAAGCUGCAGGUUCCCCGAGACGUUGCAGCGCAGGUCGUUCCAGUCAGAACGCAGCAGCUCGAAGUCCAUGGCACCCACGCUGAAUGUGCGCUGCCAGUUAAUGGCAUCCUCGCGCCAGCGGCCCAUGGGCCGCCCAGCAGCCUGUUCCUCCUCUUCCUCACUAUCUUCUGAUGUAGCCUCAUCACCAGGGGCCCCAUCAUCCUCCCCUUCUUCACCCUCUCCAGGCAGCUGUGGCCUGGACACCUGAGACAAGCUCAGGAAGGAAGUCACAGGCUGUGUUUCCGCUGAGGAGUUCAAGUCCACUGUGGGCACCAUGAGUCCCUGACCAUGCAACUGGCCCUCUUGGCCUCCCUGGGUGGUCUUUGCCCUGACUGGGGGCUUUAGUUCUGUGACCUUGGAGCCACUGGUCCUAUAGCCCUGGGUCCGCGGUGGAUGUGGGGGUGUCCGCAGCUGCACUCUGGGCAGAGGCUUGGGGUGUAGGAAGAUGCCAGGGAAGGGCGGCCAGGGUGAGUCUCUCAGUGCCCUUGGGGAAGUCCGCUGUCCAGGUCGCACCCUGGUCACAUACACCUUUGAGGGAGACUUCUCCACAGUUCGGGGAGGUGGAGCUCUCCCCAAGAAAAGGGGCAGGGAGCGUGAGGCCCAAUUCAGUGCCCGGGAGUGUCUGGGGGUCUGCUCAUCCAGAGGACUGGUCAUGGGUAGGGUAGGGGUGUCUGUAGUUCCAGGGGAGGCUGUUGGGGUGGGGGUCUUGUGACUCUGUCGUAGGGAUGCAUCAGUGGGCUCCAGACUGUCUAACAGUUCCUGCUCAUCCUCGUCAUCAAGGAAGUCUGUAGAGAGUGUCUGGUAAGUAAAAACCCAAACCUGAAGGAGAAAGGGCAUCAGAGACCUUCCUCAUUGAGGCUCCUCCUCCUCACUUCUGAUAGGACAACCCCCGCCCCCAACCUACCUUUCCAGACUGCAGAUGCAAUGUGACCAGUUGCCUCACACACCUGCCGCCAGGACGCCCCCUCCACAAUGGCCUGAACCCUCAAACUUCGAGCCCAAACAAACCCUUCCUUAAGUUGCUUCUUGCCAAGUACUUAGUUACAUCGAUAAUCAUGGCAAUAAAAAGGUAACAAUAUA